AUGUCUUCGGAGAGGCACUUCUUCAGCACUUCUGCAAGGGCGCAGCCAUCUUGGGUUGCACCCACAAUGCACCGUUGGGGCGGCGAGAUUGUCGUGAAACGUCACCGCCGCUGUGGUGUCACACCAAAAUAUAAACACGCGCGUGUACACGAGGGACAACGAUUCGAGUGUUCACUACAGGAGGGGAACCAAUUCAAUCUCCUGGGUGUGAUAGAGGUUGGGACCUUGGGAAAGCUGGUAGCUAACAGGUGAGAAGAAAGAGAAAUUUUGUCUCAGUUUUUCUCCUCAUCCACCUGUUCUUCAUGGGGGGAACAGCUGGACUUAACCAUCUCCUGGUUCCAGAAAACCCAGGCAGGAAAAGCAGAAAAUCUGGUUUCAGAUGAAAGACUCUGACGACGCCUGACUGAAAAGCUAACCCUGAGUUCACAUUAAAGAUUCUCCAUCCACCUUAAUUGUGCACUAAUUGAGGUUUCAAACCAGGAUCACGGUGCAUCGAUCGGAACACGGCUGCAGCAUUUAGCGCUUCGAGCGGCAAUAAUAGUAAGAGCGUAAUGACUACUCUCAGUCUGUGGCGUCCAGUGAAAGCCUCCGUCUUCAGAACUCACACUUACCACUAAUUGAGAAUUUAAAUUGCAAAUCCAUCAAAUCCCUGAUGAAAAUUAGCAGGAGAAUGAUGCUGCAGCGUGAGCUUCAACAAAUGUUUGCCAGAUGUUAUAACAUUAUCCUCGCUAUCAUGAGCUUAAUGACAUGUACUGUAGUGUGGGUUUGAUUCUGGGAUGGAGGCUUUGACAGCACCAGAUUUUCAGUAAUUAAUUCAGUCAUCUGUUAUUUACUCAUAAAUCAAUUGUUUGUUUGAUCUCUAAGCUGAACCACGUUUGUUUUAAAGAAGCCCAGAGAGCAGGCAGCGACUGGCUGCUUGACUGUAAAGGCUGCUGACUGGUGCAGAGGAUCUCCAGUGUUUUCAUGCGCGUGGGGAGACUGGCUCCUUCAUUCUGAGUGAGAUGUUUGCUUACGUGUGCUGCCUGUGUUUUUCUGCUUCCUGUGUGUCUCAUUCCCUCUUGCUGUGUAUUUAUACCCACCUCUUGUGUCUUUCAGUUCCCAGGUUCAUCAGCAUUUCCUGCCCAGUUCCAUGUUUUGUUUUUUCAUUUAUUGUAAAAUCUGAGCUUUGUGUUUCAACACAAACAUAUAGCUGUUAAUUACCACACAGCAAAAAUAUACAACUUUUACUUAAAUAUAAAUAUUUUUACUUACAUAUUGUUCCUUCUGGAUUUCUGCAUCCAGGAAGUGUGAGCUGAAAGAUGCUAAAGUUUUAACCAUCACAAUGUGUAUAUAUAAAUGGUUAAAAAUGGAAUUAUAUACUUUCCACAUCCUAUUAGUUUAAUGUUUGAAUGAGCUCAUGCAUCUGUGUUCAAUCUUCAGUUGCUCUAUUUUUGUCAGAAAAUGAUAAUAAAUAGUAACUUAACAUACUGACUUCA
rnacentral:lncRNA from 1 species